rnacentral:sRNA from 1 species
CGAUCUGUCAGCUUGUAAAGCACAGCUGGGGCUGGGACACAGCUAUUCCCGUGCCAAAGUUAAGUUUAAUGUGAACCGUGUGGACAAUAUGAUCAUCCAGUCCAUUAGCCUCCUGGACCAGCUGGAUAAGGACAUCAAUACCUUCUCUAUGCGUGUCAGGGAGUGGUACGGGUAUCACUUUCCGGAGCUGGUGAAGAUCAUCAACGACAAUGCCACAUACUGCCGUCUCGCCCAGUUUAUUGGAAACCGAAGGGAACUGAAUGAGGACAAGCUGGAGAAGCUGGAGGAGCUAACAAUGGAUGGGGCCAAGGCUAAGGCUAUUCUGGAUGCCUCACGGUCCUCCAUGGGCAUGGACAUAUCUGCCAUUGACUUGAUAAACAUCGAGAGCUUCUCCAGUCGUGUGGUGUCUUUAUCUGAAUACCGCCAGAGCCUACACACUUACCUGCGCUCCAAGAUGAGCCAAGUAGCCCCCAGCCUGUCAGCCCUAAUUGGGGAAGCGGUAGGUGCACGUCUCAUCGCACAUGCUGGCAGCCUCACCAACCUGGCCAAGUAUCCAGCAUCCACAGUGCAGAUCCUUGGGGCUGAAAAGGCCCUGUUCAGGUACCAGUGAGGGCACCUGCCCACAAUCAGGUGCCACUUCUGGUGCCCACUGCUUGUUGGGGGAUCACGGUGAUGGCUGACCAGGGCUCCCUGACCUAUACAGGCCUCUGCUAUGGGGGUGAUGGCCAGUCCUGGUGUCUGAGUGAUUCCCAGGGCCCAGCAAAGGGACCAAGUCUCCAGAGCCCUGAAGACAAGGGGUAACACUCCAAAAUAUGGACUCAUUUUCCACUCCACCUUCAUUGGCCGAGCAGCUGCCAAGAACAAAGGCCGCAUCUCCCGAUACCUGGCAAACAAAUGCAGUAUUGCCUCACGAAUCGAUUGCUUCUCUG